rnacentral:tRNA from 1 species
AAUAGGAUGGCCGAGGAUCAGGCGAUAGGCUGUAAAUCUAUUUACGGGGUAUUCCCUUCUAUUA